GUUUUAAAAGAGAGUUUUCGUCGGAGUUGGUUGGAGGUUGUGGAAGGUUACUGCCGUUUGGGUGGUGGUGUUGGUUGUUAUGUUGUUGUCUUGUGUUGGAUGGAGAAUAUGAAAAUAUUGGUUAGAGGUGUUUAUGAAGUUGUGUUGUUGGGAAAAUGUGACUUUUAUGGUAGAGUAUAUAUGAAGAAGAAGAAUAUUGUGGUUUAAGAUAUGGUUUUCAUGAAAAACAUGUGUAUGGUGUGAUGUAAUUUUAUGGAGAGUUUAGUGUGUUGUGGUGCUUAUGAAGU
rnacentral:lncRNA from 1 species